GCACAUUUUAAGUCGGUAGGCGUCCAAUUUUGAUGCCUAUCUACUUAAAAUGUGCCU
rnacentral:pre_miRNA from 1 species